CUCUCCUAGACCUCAUUUAAGGGCUGACUGCAACUGGGGAAGGUUUUCUGGUUUAAGAUUCUUCCUUUGUAGAGUUUUCUCUGCGUGGUUCAAUCUUUAGAGCUAGUUGUGCCCAAUACAUCUUGUGCAGAAGAGGGAUUCUCAUCAGUUGUGAGCAGUGCAGUUAUCUUCUGGAUUUGGACAUGAAUCAGAAUGUAAUUGCUUUAAAUUGGUUUGAAGAAUGGUAAGAUCCCCUUUCUGCACCCAAAAAAACAGGUAAAUAUUACAAAUUAGUCCACAACUGUGAAAGAAAGCUGAGUAGGAUAUUCUGCACAAGGUGGACUGACAAUAAGUACUGAACUAAGAAGACUUCAGGGGAGAGAAGAAAGACAAGAUGUAUACUCAACAGGUGAGAGCUGACUAGUUUGAAAGACUAGUUUGGACAGAUCCUUCAAGUGAUGAUCACUUUAAGUUGUGGUAGUGUAGUGGAAAUGAUACCUCAUUGCUUGAACAAGUGAUGGAGCACCUGGUGGGAAGGCAGAGCUAACCCAAGGGAGCUCAGUUGCAUGCAGUGUACCUGAGUGACUGGAAGGGGUGUAGCCAGGAUCCACUCCUUCCCAGACCUCACUUAAGGGUUGGCAGUGGAGGUGAGGGGAUCUCACUGGAGAUCCCUGCCUACCUGAGGCCUUCCAAGGGUAAGCAGCUUUUUUCCCUUCAUUUUUGUGUUCAUGGCUGCUGCAUUUGGGCUUGUUAUCAUUUGCUGCAGCUGAUGACUGUGCUACUCUAUCUCUGCUGUACUUUCCAUCACAUUAUAGUGUUGUGGAUAGUCAAUGUGGACUUUUCUUAAUCUUAAGACAAAAAGUUGUUUAUCUAUUUGAUAUAUCUCCUAUAUACAGCCGAUGUUUGUUCUCUUCCUCCUUUUGCCCAUUUUCUCUGUUGUAUUCUGUCAG
ensembl:lncRNA